rnacentral:rRNA from 1 species
GAUGAACGCUAGCUACAGGCUUAACACAUGCAAGUCGAGGGGUAACGAGAGGAAAGCUUGCUUUCCUUGUCGACGACCGGCGCACGGGUGAGUAACGCGUAUCCAACCUGCCCCCAACUAGGGAAUAACCUUGCGAAAGUAAGACUAAUACCCUAUAAUUUCCUCAGAUGUCAUCUGACGAGGAAUAAAGAUUUAUCGGUUGUGGAUGGGGAUGCGUCUGAUUAGCUUGUUGGCGGGGUAACGGCCCACCAAGGCAACGAUCAUUAGGGGUUAUGAGAGGAAGGUCCCCCACAUUGGAACUGAGACACGGUCCAAACUCCUACGGGAGGCAGCAGUGAGGAAUAUUGGUCAAUGGGCGGAAGCCUGAACCAGCCAAGUAGCGUGCAGGAUGACGGCCCUAUGGGUUGUAAACUGCUUUUAUACAGGAAUAAAGUUAGCCACGUGUGGUUAUUUGUAGGUACUGUAUGAAUAAGGACCGGCUAAUUCCGUGCCAGCCGCCGCGGUAA